rnacentral:tRNA from 1 species
GAGGGUAUAGCUCAGUGGUAGAGCACAUGCUUAGCAUGCACGAGGUCCUGGGUUCAAUCCCCAGUACCUCUA